GUAGUCUCGCACAGAUGCAUAUCAAUAAGCGGAGGAAAAGAAACUAACAAGGAUUCCCCUAGUAACGGCGAGUGAAGCGGGAAGAGCUCAAAUUUGAAAUCUUAAAGGGUUUCCCUUUACGAAUUGUAGUUUAAAGAAGUGUUUUCUGUUGAGGUUUUGGUAGAAGUUCUUUGGAAUAGGACAUCAUAGAGGGUGAGAAUCCCGUAUUUGACCUUUACUUUCAACUUUGUGAUACACUUUCAAAGAGUCGGAUUGUUUGGGAAUGCAGUCCAAAAUGGGUGGUAAAUUUCAUCUAAAGCUAAAUAUUGGCGAGAGACCGAUAGCGAACAAGUACCGUGAGGGAAAGAUGAAAAGAACUUUGAAAAGAGAGUUAAACAGUACGUGAAAUUGUCAAAAGGGAAGCGUUUGACACCAGUGUUGUUUUUCUGAAAAUCAAUUAAAGAACUGUUUAUGCUAAGCUGUUUAGACUUUAUCAGCUAUCUGUUUAGUUUUGAGCUUUUCUUUAAUGCACUUUUCAGUUAACAAGUCAACAUCAAUUUCUUUUGCUGUAAAAAAGCUUGAGGAAGGUGGCUUGAGAUUCGUCUUAAGUGUUUAUAGCCUCUUGCCUAUGCAGUCGGAGAGAUUGAGGUCUGCAGCGUAGAUCCUUCGGGGCUAAAUGCAUUUGUGCUAAGUUAUAGCAUUUUAUAGACAACUUGUUGACUAUGAUUUGUCUUGUAGCUUACUCGCUUAUGUUAUUUUACCUACGCUUAGGAUGUUGAGUAGCGACAUACGCAC
rnacentral:rRNA from 1 species